rnacentral:rRNA from 1 species
GACGUAGGGCGCGAGCGUUGUCCGGAUUUAUUGGGCGUAAAGAGCUCGUAGGCGGCUUGUCGCGUCGUCCGUGAAAACUUGGGGCUCAACCCCAAGCUUGCGGUCGAUACGGGCAGGCUGGAGUUCGGUAGGGGAGACUGGAAUUCCUGGUGUAGCGGUGAAAUGCGUAGAUAUCGGGAGGAACACCAGUGGCGAAGGCGACUUCCUGGCCUGUUCUUGACGCUGAGGCGCGAAAGCUAGGGGAGCAAACGGG